GUAGAGGCUAGCAGUUCAGUCUCUUCAUGAAGCACUUGCUCUAAUGAUGGAGGAAACCAGAGUGGCAAGUGGCAAGCGUGGUUCCUGGCUGUGACACAGCUUUUAGCUCUCAAGAUUAUUUGCAAGCUGUUCCCAAGUCCCACAUCAACUCACACUUCUCACUUGAAAAUGGCUGCCAAGUUGUGAAGAGAAAAGGAGACCUCACAACACGCCGAGCGUCAUCAGGAAAGAGAUGUUUAAGCAGCACCAGGU